CCACCUCUAAACUCUCUUGUCUUCUCAGAUUCUCUCUAACAUUUGAAACCCUAGCCGCAUAUAUCGCCGUCUCCGAUCAGACCGGCGUCCAUGGCUUCCCAGGCCAUGGACGGCCUAUACCCUCUUCUCCUUACCCCAGACCAUGAUUAUUUGAAGCUUUCAGGGUCCGUUAUUCAAUAGAACUAUUCAAGUCCUCCACGGAUCUGAGUUUUUUUGGCUUCUACUCCAUUACGGCGAGUUCAAGCUCUGAAAGGUCUAGACAUGGCCCAGACCUACUCAGGACCAGAUCGUUCCAGGCCUUCUUGUUUCUAGGGUUUAUGAGAAACCCUAAAAAACUUAUUCGAGGUUCUAUAUUUCCUUGUUUUCUUAGAUCUGUAGCAGAUUUGUGUUCUACUCGAUGUUUUAAUGUUUUCCCCCGAUUUUCCUUUUUAAAUUUAGUCUGCUCAAAUUAGGGUUUUCAAAAAUCCUAAAACGAUUCUUCUUCUUUUUCUUUCUUUAUGUGAAUUUGUGUGUCCAUGUCAUACUAAUGUGUUUUCGUCUGUUCUUAUGCAUGUUUUUACUCCUUUAAUGCUUAUACUGGUUUUUACAAGUAUGAUCCACACUUUUCUUGCAUGACUUUCUACUGUUUCUCCUACUAAGAUUAUUUGCAUCUACUGGAUUCUUUUGGUUCGAAAUUUGUUUCUUUUUCUAUUUCCUACGUUCUAUGAGUGAAUUGGCUUGAGUCCUUUUAGCUUUCUUCUAAAACUUGUUCUUUACAAGCUUUCACUCUACUACUUCUAAUUUGCUACGAAUGUUCGUGUGAGUUCCUUGAGCUUGUUGUGAGGGCUUUCCUUAUCUUUUCUACUCGGAUUGAAACCCUGUGUUAAGAUUUUUGCGUGUUUUGGUUCUAGGGUUCUACUCUAGAAACCCUAGGCUCUCAACUCGUGCUGAGUUAAUAUACUGAACUGAAACUUGCUUUUUGCCUAUGAUUCUGAAACUGUUUGUGCCGAUAUUUUCUUUCUUGUUUGACACUAGUAUGCUUUAUAUGCAAGGGUUUUCCUCUAAAUUGAUUCUGUUAGCUUAUGAUUGAUUUCAAUCUCCUAUUACUAAGGCUCGAUUGAAUUGCUACUGAUUUUUACAACUUAACCUCUUCUCCUGUUUUCAUGACUAAGUUCAUUCAAGACUUUUAAAUUUCUGACUAUUUGAUUACUGUAUUUUCCUUAUUUUUCUCAAAACCGUGUAUUGUGGGUUCCUUACCUUAAAUAGGUUGUAUGAACUUACCCCUAUUAUGCUACUCUGAAAAGGUUUUCAAUAUUUUCCUUUCCUUAAUUACUCAUUCUCGUUUGAAAGCAAAUCCAUUUGACUAAGGGAGACCCUAUUUGAUUGACUGGAAUUUUAUUUCCUUACCUUUUUGUUUACUCGUUUUUGUACUAUAGAAAGGGACAACCUUUUCAACUAUAGAUAGUUCUCAACACAAUUAUUUUCUGCACAUUUGCAAUACACAAUCAUCUCUGUCUUUGAAAUAUACUGCUACUACUCUACUGCCACUUUCUCUACUAUUGUUUCUCUACUGAGCAAUAUUCUCCUUUCUCUCCUAC
rnacentral:lncRNA from 1 species